ensembl:lncRNA
GGAUGAGGGGUGUGUCCGCUGGAGGAGAUGCAGCACUAACAAGGCCACAGAGGGAUAGGCCUGGGUGUUGCCUGGGGCAGGUGAGGUCAGACUGGCUGAAGAUGGAGGAGCUGGCCACCCUCAGACAGGACUGUGAGGAGGUUGAGGAGAGCUCCGCUGUGUGAGACUGAACUGUCCCCUGUGUAUCCCUGACACCAGCUAACGAUAAGAUGCGCUGUGUUCUGUGUCCUGUCAUGCCGUGCUGGAGCAGCUGCAUGCGGGGGCGGAGCAGAUGGAGGGGAGGAGUCUGGAGGUCAGCCUAAGAGACAUCAAAGCAGAGGCAGAAAGCACCAGGUACACACAUACUCAACCCUGUUACUGCCCCUACUACUGCAUAUCUAGAAAAACCGAGAAUCAGAGAUAAAGGAUACAGUAUGUCCAAACAAUCAUCUUAGGAACAGCUUAUACUGUUUCCCUACUGUACUUUACACCUACUUCCCCUACUAUAUAUCUAUAUUGUCUAUACUAAUAGGCUGAAUUCACAGUGAUUUAUUGAGUGUGUUGUAGUUUUCGGCUGCAGAGGCAGAGGGACUCCUGUCUGCAGGAGGUCAGGGAUCUGGAGGAGGAGCUGGCUGCUCUAUGUAAACACAGAACAUCCUUGAUAGAUGGGACCAGGGUAACACAAUUUUUAUAGCCCGCAUGGUACUUUUCCCAGCUCUAUUACAAUCUAAAAAUGAUUCCCUUCCCUUCUCCCCCACAGUCUCAGAGAGUGACCAGUGUCAG